rnacentral:tRNA from 1 species
GGAGAGAUGGCAGAGUGGUCGAAUGCACUGGUCUUGAAAACCAGCGUACAGCAAUGUACCGGGGGUUCGAAUCCCUCUCUCUCCGCAA